AAUCCAUAGGUUAAUGAGGCGAACCGGGGGAACUGAAACAUCUAAGUACCCCGAGGAAAAGAAAUCAACCGAGAUUCCCCCAGUAGCGGCGAGCGAACGGGGAGGAGCCCAGAGCCUGAAUCAGCAUGUGUGUUAGUGGAAGCGUCUGGAAAGGCGCGCGAUACAGGGUGACAGCCCCGUACACAAAAGCGCAUGUGCUGUGAGCUCGAUGAGUAGGGCGGGACACGUGGUAUCCUGUCUGAAUAUGGGGGGACCAUCCUCCAAGGCUAAAUACUCCUGACUGACCGAUAGUGAACCAGUACCGUGAGGGAAAGGCGAAAAGAACCCCGGCGAGGGGAGUGAAAAAGAACCUGAAACCGUGUACGUACAAGCAGUGGGAGCACCCUUCGGGGUGUGACUGCGUACCUUUUGUAUAAUGGGUCAGCGACUUAUAUUCUGUAGCAAGGUUAACCGAAUAGGGGAGCCGGAGGGAAACCGAGUCUUAAUUGGGCGUUAAGUUGCAGGGUAUAGACCCGAAACCCGGUGAUCUAGCCAUGGGCAGGUUGAAGGUUGGGUAACACUAACUGGAGGACCGAACCGACUAAUGUUGAAAAAUUAGCGGAUGACCUGUGGCUGGGGGUGAAAGGCCAAUCAAACCGGGAGAUAGCUGGUUCUCCCCGAAAGCUAUUUAGGUAGCGCCUCGUGAAUUCAUCUCCGGGGGUAGAGCACUGUUUCGGCUAGGGGGCCAUCCCGGCUUACCAACCCGAUGCAAACUGCGAAUACCGGAGAAUGUUAUCACGGGAGACACACGGCGGGUGCUAACGUCCGUCGUGAAGAGGGAAACAACCCAGACCGCCAGCUAAGGUCCCAAAGUCAUGGUUAAGUGGGAAACGAUGUGGGAAGGCCCAGACAGCCAGGAUGUUGGCUUAGAAGCAGCCAUCAUUUAAAGAAAGCGUAAUAGCUCACUGGUCGAGUCGGCCUGCGCGGAAGAUGUAACGGGGCUAAACCAUGCACCGAAGCUGCGGCAGCGACACUGUGUGUUGUUGGGUAGGGGAGCGUUCUGUAAGCCUGUGAAGGUGUGUUGUGAGGCAUGCUGGAGGUAUCAGAAGUGCGAAUGCUGACAUAAGUAACGAUAAAGCGGGUGAAAAGCCCGCUCGCCGGAAGACCAAGGGUUCCUGUCCAACGUUAAUCGGGGCAGGGUGAGUCGACCCCUAAGGCGAGGCCGAAAGGCGUAGUCGAUGGGAAACGGGUUAAUAUUCCCGUACUUGGUGUUACUGCGAAGGGGGGACGGAGAAGGCUAUGUUGGCCGGGCGACGGUUGUCCCGGUUUAAGCGUGUAGGUGUGUGUUCCAGGUAAAUCCGGUUCACUUUAACACUGAGGCGUGAUGACGAGGCACUACGGUGCUGAAGCAACAAAUGCCCUGCUUCCAGGAAAAGCCUCUAAGCAUCAGGUAACAUCAAAUCGUACCCCAAACCGACACAGGUGGUCAGGUAGAGAAUACCAAGGCGCUUGAGAGAACUCGGGUGAAGGAACUAGGCAAAAUGGUGCCGUAACUUCGGGAGAAGGCACGCUGACACGUAGGUGAAGUGAUUUACUCAUGGAGCUGAAGUCAGUCGAAGAUACCAGCUGGCUGCAACUGUUUAUUAAAAACACAGCACUGUGCAAACACGAAAGUGGACGUAUACGGUGUGACGCCUGCCCGGUGCCGGAAGGUUAAUUGAUGGGGUCAGCGCAAGCGAAGCUCCUGAUCGAAGCCCCGGUAAACGGCGGCCGUAACUAUAACGGUCCUAAGGUAGCGAAAUUCCUUGUCGGGUAAGUUCCGACCUGCACGAAUGGCGUAAUGAUGGCCAGGCUGUCUCCACCCGAGACUCAGUGAAAUUGAACUCGCUGUGAAGAUGCAGUGUACCCGCGGCAAGACGGAAAGACCCCGUGAACCUUUACUAUAGCUUGACACUGAACAUUGAGCCUUGAUGUGUAG
rnacentral:rRNA from 1 species